GACGAACGCUGGCGGCGUGCUUAACACAUGCAAGUCGAACGGUGAUGCCCCAGCUUGCUGGAGUGGAUCAGUGGCGAACGGGUGAGUAACACGUGAGCAACCUGCCCCAGACUCUGGAAUAAGCGCUGGAAACGGCGUCUAAUACUGGAUACGAAACUGGCCCGCAUGGGCAUGGUUUGGAAAGUUUUUCGGUUUGGGAUGGGCUCGCGGCCUAUCAGCUUGUUGGUGAGGUAAUGGCUCACCAAGGCGACGACGGGUAGCCGGCCUGAGAGGGCGACCGGCCACACUGGGACUGAGACACGGCCCAGACUCCUACGGGAGGCAGCAGUGGGGAAUAUUGCACAAUGGGCGAAAGCCUGAUGCAGCGACGCCGCGUGAGGGAUGACGACCUUCGGGUUGUAAACCUCUUUCAGCAGGGAAGAAGCGAAAGUGACGGUACCUGCAGAAGAAGCACCGGCUAACUACGUG
rnacentral:rRNA from 1 species